UACAUAUCCGUAGUGUAAUGGACAACCUUACUAAUAUAUAAAAAUGAAAUAUUAAUCCUGUGAAUUGAAGCACUCAUUUUUCCCAAGCAUAUCAGACCACGCUUGUCAACUACUCCAAAGAAAACACAUUGUCCAUGGUCCCGUACAUUCUAACUUCUUCUGGAAAUUCCUCAACUCCACCCAAAUCAAAUUGUCUCCAAACCUCAGUGUUCAAAUUACAAAUCAAAAUGGAAAGCCGUUCACUAUUCAUAAAUAACAACACAAUCUCCCCAUCAUGAUUUGUAGUAUGACGCAGGAAUGUGCUCCUAAGUCCCUCUUCUAAUGGAAUGGUCAUAGUAAUGUUCUCCCAGCAUUCCUUAGAUUUCUCCCAAGUCCAAACAUCCAUGUAGAAUUCUCUUGGGCGAACACGAACCAUAGCCAGUCGACCUCCAUCAACUUGUAGAAAUGCAAAAUUUUGGAAAAGGGGUAGUUGAUCUCCCUCCAUGAUUUGUCCACUCCCACAGUCAAAACCCAAUGCUUAUACUCGAAGCGGAUGGGCGUGCUGCCUCGAUCAAUCAUACAGGCUGACAUCAAAACCUUGUAUCUUUUAGAUUGUGAAUCAAACCCCAACUGUGCACAGGAUAAAGAUGGAUGGGGGAAGUGGAAUUGGAUUGUCGGAAGGGAAAUACGUUGUCCCGUGCAAACGUUGCAAACAACGACGUCUCCAUUGGGUCUGGACAUACAAAUCAGGCCAUCCGAGGAGGAGUGUAGACAGCCUUCCAGAAAUGGUUCAGCGUCCAAGUAGCCGAGACGGUUGGCUUGGAGCAUUCCCGGCUGCCCUUGGCUGAAAUUUAUGGUGUAAUACACAUGGGAGGAACGGGAGGAGAGCCGCUUUGGCUGUAUGAUAGCGAUGAGGAUGCCCGCCCUAGUGGGAAGUGUCAAGGACAAGCUGCGAUGCAGAACGCCAAAGCCAUGGUCGGCUAUGAGAGCGCAAAAGAAUUUAGAAACGCACCUGAAUCGUACUAGCGAUUUAGCGGGGAGCUUGGAGAGGAUUCCGACGAGAAUAUCUUGGGGAA